UUUUUUUUUCUUUUUUUUUUUUAAUGUCUUUUUGUCUUUUUGCCAUUUUCUUGGGCCACUCCCAUGGCAUAUGGAGGUGCAGCCCUAAGAAGACAAAAGACAAAAUAAAUAAAUAAAUUGCGCUUCAGGAUUGAAGAUUUUUACAGAAAUUAAUUUUGCAGUUUUUCAUGGUAAAUUGCCUUGCUUCUUUAGCCUGUAUCUUCUUCCUCUGUUCUCUUAUUCCAAAACCCCCGGCCUUAGCUUUUUAGACCCCAAUUCAACAAAGGCCAGAGACUAGGUCAGGGUCUCAGUACAAUAAUAGAGUCCCUUCUGACUGGUUUAAAUAGGAAAUGAAUUUAUUAGAGGAGGAGUAAAAGGGCUGAAGAAAUAGAUUUGAGGCUACACUUCUAAGAACAGUGCACAUAACCAUCCCAAAGAAUAGGUCCUAUGAAAAACCACCACCGCUGUUGCUGUUGCCACCAGGCACUAGAAACCAGGAACUCAACUUCACUUCAAGGUUGCAACUUUAGUAUCAAAAACUCACCCCUGCAACUGCUGCUGCUACCACACUGGCAAAAUGGAAGUGCCACACAGAAGCCACUCCCUCUUAUUGCUCAUUUCCAAGCUGAAGUCUCCUGUGGAGUCAUCUAACUGGUGGAGAAUAGGACAUAACACCUGCAUCCCAGGUACAAGGGAAGCUAUAGUUUAUGUUCUGACGUCUAUGUUUCUUGAGUCUCCUUUUUUGUUAAUGACUCAAUGAAUUUUAUUACAUUUAUAGCUGUACAACAAUCAUCACAACCAAAUCCCUGAGUCUCCUUUGUUGCUUAUGAAAACCCAGGAUUCAGGGUCCUGGUGGCAACCACUGAGAUUCCAUGAUAACCCCGAAUGACAGCUUCCCCUGUCCUAAGGGUCCAAGUUCUCAGAAAUGAGCUUCUGCUUUGGUGUCCUAUUCUUGCUCUCUUGUUUCUCUAGAGAUUGGAGUCCAGACCUUUCGAAAAGCCUAGUGCCUGGGGUUCUGCUAACUUACCUUGCCCUGGCCAGUUUCCUUCCUAUCGCCCUGAGAUGCCUCGGAACCCUACGACACAAGGUAAGUGCACAAUAAAUGCUGAAAAAAGAAGAUAUUUCCUCCACUGAAAAGACCUCCUAGAUGACAGCUACAUCUUCCCAAUUCCUUCUUACUGGGCUUGGUCAGCUAUCAGAAUCCUGAUAUCCGUCAUCUAGAACCACUAAACUGCUAUGUCAUUCAUACAAUACACCUCUCCACCUGCCAUCUUCCACCAUUAACUUUUCUGUCCCCUCAAUCAAUGGAGAUCUGCCUGUGCCAACACCAUGUGACAUGACUUUAGACAAAUGAUUUCAUCCCAGACCUUGCGUUUCCUCCCUGCAAGGGUAGUCAUGUAGAUUAUGUGCAUAGUUCUUCUAACUUUUAUGAUUGCACACAGUGUCGCUAUGGAAUAUUAUUAUAAAAUAGGAUAUGCAUCUUUUCUUUCUCCUUUAAUACAGUAUGAGGAUCUAUAAUAGCCAAACAAUACCAUAUUUUUUAAACUGACAUACUACACUUCCCAACAAAGAGAUGAGGCCAACUGCAAAGAACACUGUAGC
rnacentral:lncRNA from 9 species